UGCCGCCCAAGUGUACCUGGAACGGUUUGCCGUAGAGGGUGAGAGCCCCGUACGGCGGCGCCGAGCCUCCUCCAGCGAAGCCCAUUCGGAGAGUCGAGCAGUUUGGGAAUGCUGCUCUAAAGGGAGGUAAAUCCCUUCCAAGGCUAAAUACCUGCCGGAGACCGAUAGCGCAGAAGUAGCGCGAGCGAAAGGUGAAUAGAACUCUGAAAAGAGAGUUAAAGCAUGUGAAAUCGUUGAAGGGGAAGCGGUUUCGACCAGACACGCGCCGGUUGAUCACCCAGCGGUCACGCUGGGGCACUCUGCCGGUGCGGGCCAGCAUCGGCUGGCGGCGGGGUCAAAGGCUCGGGGAACGUGGCUCUUCGGAGUGUUAUAGCCCCUUGCGUAAUGCUUCGUUGCCGGCCGAGGAAUCAGCGCUUCGGCACAGAUGUUGGCGUAAUGGUCGACACCGACCCGUCUUGAAACACGGACCAAGGAGUUGACCUUGCGUGCGAGUGUAAGGGUGUAAAGCCCUGACGCGAAAUGAAAGUGAACGUAGGUGGGAGCCUUUGCGGGUGCACCACCGACCGAUCCUGAAGUUCUCUGACGGAUUCGAGUACGAGCACGUUGGGUCUGACCCGAAAGAAGUGUGAACUAUGCCUGGAUAGGGUGAAGCCAGAGGAAACUCUGGUGGAGGCUCGCAGCGGUUCUGACGUGCAAAUCGAUCGUCAAAUCUUGGCAUGGGGGCGAAAGACCAAUCGAACCUUCUAGUAGCUGGUUCCUGCCGAAGUUUCCCUCAGGAUAGCAGAGUUGAGGGCAGUUUUACGCGGUAGAGUAAAGAUUGGGGAACCGGGGGCGCUAUUUAGCCUUCAUCCACUCUCUAACUCCGAAUGCGUAAGAAACCCCCGUUUCUUUACUGAACGCGGGUCUUCGAAUGCGCAACUCUAGUGGGCCAGGUUUGGUAAGCAGAACUGGCGAUGUGGGAUGAACCAAACGGGGACUUGCGGAGCCCAAAUGGGCGCUCAUGAGACACCACAAAAGGUGUUAGCACAUCUUGACAGUAGGACGGUGGCCAUGGAAGUCGGAAUCCGCUAAGGAGUGUGUAACAACUCACCUACCGAAUGUGCUAGCCCUGAAAAUGGAUGGCGCUAAGCGCCCUUCCUAUAGUCCCCCCUCCGGGUAGGAACUCCGCCCGGAGGAGUAGGCAGGCGCGGGGGUCGUGACGAAGCCU
rnacentral:rRNA from 1 species